rnacentral:rRNA from 1 species
CCAAGGAGUCUAAUUAGGCAUCGAGUCGAUCGGUCUUGAAUAGGCCAGAGUGGGUAGUUUCGACUAUCCGAUUGAAGGCGCAGUAGAAAUCAAAUCAUGUGAUCAUUGGGGCAACAACAGCCUCGAUGCGCAACAUGUGCCUGCUCGUAUAGCAAUGUUAGCAAUAACUUGCUGGGCGGAGCAAAGAGAUGCUUGAUUGGUACCCGAAAGAUGGUGAACUAUGCCUGGGCAAAUUGAAGCCAGAGGAAACUCUGGUGGAGGAUUGUAGCGAUUCUGACGUGCAAAUCGAUCGUCAGACCUGGGUAUAGGGGCGAAAGACUAAUCGAACCAUC